rnacentral:rRNA from 1 species
CACGGCGCACGGGUGCGUAACACGUGGGCAAUCUGCCCUUCGAUGGGGAAUAUCUUCGGGAAACCGAAGCGAAUUCCGCAUAACAUUCCUUGGAUUUCGGUUCGAGGACUCAAAGCCGCAAGGCGUCGAAGGAGGAGCCCGCGCCCGAUUAGCUAGUUGGUAGGGUAACGGCCUACCAAGGCAAUGAUCGGUAGCUGGUCUGAGAGGAUGGCCAGCCACACUGGAACUGAGACACGGUCCAGACUCCUACGGGAGGCAGCAGUGGGGAAUCUUGCACAAUGGGCGAAAGCCUGAUGCAGCGACGCCGCGUGGGGGAUGAAGCAUCUCGGUGUGUAAACCCCUUUCGACCCGGAAGAAUGCCUCGCAAGAGGACUGACGGUACGGGUAUAAGAAGCCCCGGCUAACUACGUGCCAGCAGCCGCGGUAAGACGUAGGGGGCCAGCGUUGUUCGGAAUUACUGGGUGUAAAGGGUUCGUAGGCGGUGCGGCAAGUUGGGAGUGAAAUCUCUGGGCUCAACCCAGAGGCUGCUUCCAAAACUGCUGUGCUGGAGUGUGGGAGAGGCGCGUGGAAUUGCAGGUGUAGCGGUGAAAUGCGUAGAUAUCUGCAGGAACACCCGUGGCGAAAGCGGCGCGCUGGACCACUAC